rnacentral:rRNA from 1 species
AUUGAACGCUGGCGGCAUGCCUUACACAUGCAAGUCGAACGGCAGCACGGGAGCAAUCCUGGUGGCGAGUGGCGAACGGGUGAGUAAUAUAUCGGAACGUGCCCAGUCGUGGGGGAUAACGCAGCGAAAGCUGUGCUAAUACCGCAUACGCACCGAGGUGGAAAGCAGGGGAUCGCAAGACCUUGCGCUAUACGAGCGGCCGAUGUCAGAUUAGCUAGUUGGUAGGGUAAAGGCCUACCAAGGCGACGAUCUGUAGCGGGUCUGAGAGGAUGAUCCGCCACACUGGGACUGAGACACGGCCCAGACUCCUACGGGAGGCAGCAGUGGGGAAUUUUGGACAAUGGGGGAAACCCUGAUCCAGCCAUGCCGCGUGAGUGAAGAAGGCCUUCGGGUUGUAAAGCUCUUUCGGCUGGGAAGAAAUCGCACAGGCUAAUACUCUGUGUGGAUGACGGUACCAGCACAAGAAGCACCGGCUAACUACGUG